CCUACGGGGGGCAGCAGUGAGGAAUAUUGGUCAAUGGACGAGAGUCUGAACCAGCCAAGUAGCGUGAAGGAUGACUGCCCAAUGGGUUGUAAACUUCUUUUAUAUGGGAAUAAAACGUUCAACGUGGGGGAUUUUGUAUGUACCAAAUGAAUAAGAAUCGGCUAACUCCGGGCCAGCAGCCGCGGUAAUACGGAGGAUCCGAGAGUUAUCCGGAUUGAGUGGUGUUAAAGGGAGCGUAGGUGGAUUGUUAAGUAAGUUGUGAAAGUUUGCGGCUCAACCGUAAAAUUGCAGUUGAAACUGGCAGUCUUGAGUACAGUAGAGGUGGGCGGAAUUCGUGGUGUAGCGGUGAAAUGCUUAGAUAUCACGAAGAACUCCGAUUGCGAAGGCAGUUCACUGGACUGCAACUGACACUGAGGCUCGAAAGUGUGGGUAUCAAACAGGAUUAGAUACCCCGGUAGUC
rnacentral:rRNA from 1 species